GAUGAACGCUGGCGGCGUGCCUAACACAUGCAAGUGGAGCGACGAACCCGGACUUGUCCGGGGGCAAAGCCGCGAACGGGUGAGUAACACGUGGAUUAUCUGCCCCAAUGACCGGGACAACCCGAGGAAACUCGGGCUAAUACCGGAUGUGCUCUUCGGAGGAAAGGAAGCUUCGGCCUCCGCUCUGGGAUGAGUCCGCGGCGCAUUAGCUAGUUGGUGGGGUAAUGGCCUACCAAGGCGACGAUGCGUAGCUGGUCUGAGAGGACGAUCAGCCACACUGGAACUGAGACACGGUCCAGACUCCUACGGGAGGCAGCAGUGGGGAAUCUUGCGCAAUGCACGAAAGUGUGACGCAGCAACGCCGCGUGCGGGAAGAAGGUCUUCGGAUCGUAAACCGCUUUCAGUUGGGACGGGGGUCAGCUGGUGAAUAGCCAGUCUGACUGACGGUACCUUCAGAAGAAGCCCCGGCUAACUACGUGCCAGCCGCCGCAGUAAUAC
rnacentral:rRNA from 1 species